rnacentral:snRNA from 1 species
GUGCUUGCUUCGGCAGCACAUAUACUAAAAUUGGAACAAUACAGAGAAGAUUAGUAUGGCCCCUGUGCAAGGAUGACAUGCAAAUUCAUGAAGCGUUCCAUAUUUUU